CCCGCCCGGGCACAAGCGGUGGAGCAUGUGGUUUAAUUCGAUGCAACGCGAAGAACCUUACCUACUCUUGACAUCCAGAGAACUUAGCAGAGAUGCUUUGGUGCCUUCGGGAACUCUGAGACAGGUGCUGCAUGGCUGUCGUCAGCUCGUGUUGUGAAAUGUUGGGUUAAGUCCCGCAACGAGCGCAACCCUUAUCCUUUGUUGCCAGCGAUUCGGUCGGGAACUCAAAGGAGACUGCCAGUGAUAAACUGGAGGAAGGUGGGGAUGACGUCAAGUCAUCAUGGCCCUUACGAGUAGGGC
rnacentral:rRNA from 1 species